UCCUCAUUACUAAUAAAGUUAUUGUGAAAAAAUUAACUCUAUUAUUGUUAAUAUCUAAUUAAUCUUUAAAAUUUUUACUUCCAUAUAUUGCUUUAGCAUUUUCAUCGUGUGAAGAGGUUAUAUUCAGAACCCGUCAAUCAAAAAACCAAUCAGUCGUGCGUUAGCUUCGGGAGUGUUAGUACAUUUUUCAUAUCCGCGAGUGUUUAUUAUUAAGAAUACUAUUCUCUUUCCUCAUUAACUUUGUUUUUUACUAUUAUUGAAAAUAAAAUUAAUUUUAAAAUCUCGCGAGUGCUCGUUAUAAUACUUAAAACCGCGAUCGUUUUUGUAAUAUAAAAAUAUGUUCCCUUUAUAUUUUACGUGAAUUAGGAGUGUUCGUAAAAAAUUUUUAAAACCGCGUGUAUUUUUUUGUGCUUGGAAGAUUUUUAUCGCCAUCGUAGAGUGCUGCUGAAAAAAUUAAUAUCAUUCAACAAAUAGAGUGAAAUAAAAAAAAGAUGCAACAACCCACACAAUACGUGAGUGAGAAUCGUUCGGAUGGAAGAAUCCAUGGUGACUGGUGUAACCUACAUCGUUCUGAUCGAUUCAAUCCUGCAAUCUUAUCUUUGAAGGAUACAAAAUUCACAGACUUUUUAGAACUCGGUCUAUUUUUACGGUUAUUUUUCACAUUUUCUGAAUGGAAAUUUAACUUGAAAGUAUAGGGAUCUCCGAGGGCUAUUUAGUUUGAAAGAAUAUCUCCUUGAAGCUCAAAAAUUCAUUAUUAAGUUGAUCCGGUGAAAAAUAAAUGAGAUAUACAGAACACUGCAGCGGCGCGUCCCGUGGCUUUAUACAAGGUGGCCAGCCAUACCUGACCCUAACGACACAUGGCCUUUUCCUAUGAUUUAGAAACGGCAACCACUGCGGAAGAGUUAUUAUAUGGUCCAGGAAUCGAUGACUCUUUGUAACUUGGAAACAAAAUUUCUCCUGAACAAAAAAAAGUAAGUUGAAACUUUGAAUGCGUUUUUCUCAAAAUGACAUUUUCCAAGUCGGUGACCACGAUUACUCGAAUACCAUUAAACCGAUUUAUUUAAAAUUUAGUGUGCUUCAUUUACACAUAUAAGUCUAGUUCGUGAUCGAAGGAUUUUUUUUUUUAUGCAAAACUUUUUUUUAUAUAGCUGAAAAUCGACCGUAUUUUUUUAACGAAAAUCAUACUUUUGACUUUGACAGGUCGCCAAUUUGUCAAAUUUUUUUUUUUUUUUAAAUCCUUCGAUCACGAACUAGAUAAUCUUAUAAUAAAUGUAAAUCAAUUUCAUUUUUGUAUUUCAGACGAAGUAUACUUGCAGAAUGCUGGUCACCGCAAUUCGCCUUUUUUCUUAAGGCGCCACUUCAAUGGCUCAUAUCUCCAAAAGUUUUUGUUAAAAAAAUUUUUUUUUUCUUUUAAAUUACAGCUUUUUACAUGUACUUUUAACUAAUAAAUAGUAUUCUUUAAAAAGA